rnacentral:rRNA from 1 species
AGAACGAACGCUGGCGGCAUGCCUAACACAUGCAAGUCGAACGCUUGCCGGGCUUCGGUUCGGCAGGAGUGGCGCACGGGUGAGUAGCGCGUGGGAACCUGCCCUGUUGUGGGGGAUAACCGAGGGAAACUUCGGCUAAUACCGCAUAAGCCGGUUGUCUUGAAAGAGAUGGCCGGGAAAGAUUUAUCGCGACAGGAGGGGCCCGCGUCGGAUUAGCUAGUUGGUGGGGUAACGGCCCACCAAGGCAGUGAUCCGUAGCUGGUCUGAGAGGAUGAUCAGCCACACUGGGACUGAGACACGGCCCAGACUCCUACGGGAGGCAGCAGUGGGGAAUAUUGGACAAUGGGCGCAAGCCUGAUCCAGCAAUGCCGCGUGAGUGAUGAAGGCCUUAGGGUUGUAAAGCUCUUUCGCCCGCGACGAUGAUGACGGUAGCGGGAGAAGAAGCCCGGCUAACUUCGUGCCAGCAGCCGCGGU